rnacentral:sRNA from 1 species
AACUUCCGGUGUGGGUGACGAGUGGUGGCCGAAGCAGGGGUACAGCAAGGGACGCUCAGGCGGGGACCAUGGCGGACGGCGGCUCGGAGCGGGCUGACGGGCGCAUCGUCAAGAUGGAGGUGGACUACAGCGCCACGGUGGAUCAGCGCCUACCCGAGUGUGCGAAGCUAGCCAAGGAAGGAAGACUUCAAGAAGUCAUUGAAACCCUUCUCUCUCUGGAAAAGCAGACUCGUACUGUGAGUAGUUUACAGGGGAAAGCUCAGUUACCAUUAAUUUCAUUGAACAUUGUUCCAUUAACUUUCAAUAUAUUUUUACCCUUACAGGCUUCCGAUAUGGUGUCUACAUCCCGUAUCUUAGUUGCAGUAGUGAAGAUGUGCUAUGAGGCUAAAGAAUGGGAUUUACUUAAUGAAAAUAUUAUGCUUUUGUCCAAAAGGCGGAGUCAGUUAAAACAAGUAAGUUUACAUGCAUAUAAAAGACAGUGUUGGCUCAGUGCAGUGGAUCACACCUGUAAUACCAGCACUUUGGGAGGCCAAGGCUGUUGCCAAAAUGGUUCAACAGUGCUGUACUUAUGUUGAGGAAAUCACAGACCUUCCUAUCAAACUUCGAUUAAUUG